rnacentral:rRNA from 1 species
GAUGAACGCUAGCGGCAGGCUUAACACAUGCAAGUCGAGGGGUAUAGUAGCAAUACUAGAGACCGGCGCACGGGUGCGUAACGCGUAUGCAAUCUACCUUUUGCAGAGGGAUAGCCCAGAGAAAUUUGGAUUAAUACCUCAUAGUAUAUAUGGAUGGCAUCAUUUAUAUAUUAAAGUCACAACGGCAAAAGAUGAGCAUGCGUCCCAUUAGCUUGUUGGUAAGGUAACGGCUUACCAAGGCAACGAUGGGUAGGGGUCCUGAGAGGGAGAUCCCCCACACUGGUACUGAGACACGGACCAGACUCCUACGGGAGGCAGCAGUGAGGAAUAUUGGUCAAUGGGCGCAAGCCUGAACCAGCCAUGUCGCGUGCAGGAAGACUGCCCUAUGGGUUGUAAACUGCUUUUAUACAGGAAUAAAGUGUACUACGUGUAGUAUUUUGUAUGUACUGUAUGAAUAAGGAUCGGCUAACUCCGUGCC